rnacentral:rRNA from 1 species
AUGUGGAGGCUAACGGGAGUGUAUGGUGAACCAAACUGGGACAAUAAGGAGAGGACGUAUCAACUCUUGCGCGAUCUCCAUGCUCAGUUCACUCUCCCGUGGGUGGCGGUUGGUGAUUUUAAUGAGAUUCUAUUCUCGUCGGAAAAGGAGGGAGGAGCCCCUUGACAACACAGUCGGAUGCAAGCUUUUCAGGACGCGCUCAUGGACUGUUCCCUCGAGGAUAUUGGUUACCAUGGUGAUAAGUUCACCUUCUUCAGAGGAGGACUAAGGGAACGGCUCGACCGAGCGGUGUCGAAUGCAGACUGGAUGGAGAUGCACCCAUUAUGCGGUUUGAGUAACUUAAAAAUGGGCAAGUCGGAUCACAGACCUAUC